UACAGAGGGGGCAAGCGUUGUUCGGAAUUACUGGGCGUAAAGCGCGUGUAGGCGGCAGGGCAAGUCGGAUGUGAAAGCCCACGGCUCAACCGUGGAAGUGCACCCGAAACUGCCUCGCUAGAGUCUCGGAGAGGAAGGUGGAAUGCUUGGUGUGGAGGUGAAAUUCGUAGAUAUCAAGCGGAACACCGGUGGCGAAGGCGGCCUUCUGGACGAUGACUGACGCUGAGACGCGAAAGCGUGGGGAGCAAACAGG
rnacentral:rRNA from 1 species